rnacentral:rRNA from 2 species
UACAGAGGGUGCUAGCGUUAAUCGGAUUUACUGGGCGUAAAGCGUGUGUAGGCGGUUCGUUAAGUCGGAUGUGAAAGCCCUGGGCUCAACCUAGGAAUUGCAUUCGAUACUGGCGGGCUAGAGUACGGUAGAGGGCGGCGGAAUUCCGGGUGUAGCGGUGAAAUGCGUAGAUAUCCGGAGGAACACCGAUGGCGAAGGCAACCGCCUGGGCCUGUACUGACGCUGAGACACGAAAGCGUGGGGAGCAAACAGG